GACGAACGCUGGCGGCGUGCUUAACACAUGCGAGUCGAACGGAAAGGCCCUGCUUUUGUGGGGUGCUCGAGUGGCGAACGGGUGAGUAACACGUGAGUAACCUGCCCUUGACUUUGGGAUAACUUCAGGAAACUGGGGCUAAUACCGGAUAGGAGCUCCUGCUGCAUGGUGGGGGUUGGAAAGUUUCGGCGGUUGGGGAUGGACUCGCGGCUUAUCAGCUUGUUGGUGGGGUAGUGGCUUACCAAGGCUUUGACGGGUAGCCGGCCUGAGAGGGUGACCGGCCACAUUGGGACUGAGAUACGGCCCAGACUCCUACGGGAGGCAGCAGUGGGUAAUAUUGCACAAUGGGCGGAAGCCUGAUGCAGCAACGCCGCGUGCGGGAUGACGGCCUUCGGGUUGUAAACCGCUUUCGCCUGUGACGAAGCGUGAGUGACGGUAAUGGGUAAAGAAGCACCGGCUAACUACGUG
rnacentral:rRNA from 1 species